rnacentral:rRNA from 1 species
CGAGCACGCGCGUGUGGCAUAUCAAUAAGCGGAGGAAAAGAAACUAACAAGGAUUCCCUUAGUAACGGCGAGUGAAGCGGGAAGAGCUCAAAUUUGAAAUCUUCAAGAUUCUACCUUGACGAAUUGUAGUUUAUAGAAGUGUUUUCUGUUAGUAGAGUGGCUAAAAGUUCUUUGGAAUAGGACAUCAUAGAGGGUGAGAAUCCCGUAUUUGUACAGUUACUUUCUAGCUGUGUGAUACACUUUCAACGAGUCGGAUUGUUUGGGAAUGCAGUCCAAAAUGGGUGGUAAAUUUCAUCUAAAGCUAAAUAUUGGCGAGAGACCGAUAGCGAACAAGUACCGUGAGGGAAAGAUGAAAAGAACUUUGAAAAGAGAGUUAAACAGUACGUGAAAUUGUCGAAAGGGAAGCGUUUGACACCAGUGUUGUUUUUCCGAAAAUCAAUUACGAAUGUUUUGUUUUUGAGGAGUUAUGACUUCAUCGGCUUGCUUCUUUCUUUACGAAACUUUCUUAAUGCACUUUUCGGUUAACAAGUCAACAUCAAUUUCUUUGUUGUAAAAGGGUAUGAGGAAGGUGGCUUUCUUUUCGGAGAAAGUGUUUAUAGCCUUGUGACCUCUGCAAUCGGAGCGAUUGAGGUCUGCAGCGUAGAUCCUUCGGGGUUAGAUACAGUUUGUGCUAAGUUAUAGCUUUUCAUAGACAACUUGUUGACUAUGUUUAGUCUUGUAGCUUACUCGCUUAUGCUAUUUUACCUACGCUUAGGAUGUUGAGUAGCGACAUACGCAC